CUGCCAUCUCCUACCUGCUAAACAGCUUUCCUUACAUUUACCAGAUUCGAGGGUGUCCUUUCCAGGAAACUUUCUCCAGUGCCCAUGUGUUGAAGACUCUUCCCCAUCUUUUCUUCUAUUAGUGUAGUGCCCACCUCGACCAGCAAGGAAGACACAUCACCGUUGGAUUCUUCUCAACAGCCUUUAUUUCAGGAAAACCUCAUUCUUGAUGAGGGGGGCCCCGAGGGAAAAAAGGCACUCCCCCUAAAUACAAGAAAGGCUGUGG
ensembl:lncRNA